rnacentral:rRNA from 1 species
UACAGAGGGGGCAAGCGUUGUUCGGAAUUACUGGGCGUAAAGGGCGCGUAGGCGGCCUGUUAAGUCGAACGUGAAAUCCCCGGGCUCAACCCGGGAACUGCGUCCGAUACUGGCAGGCUUGAAUCCGGGAGAGGGAUGCGGAAUUCCAGGUGUAGCGGUGAAAUGCGUAGAUAUCAAGAGGAACACCUGAGGUGAAGACGGGUUGCUGGGCUGACACUGACGCUGAGGCGCGAAAGCCAGGGGAGCAAACGGG